AUGCUGGCUUGGGCAGCACAUGCCAAAGAUUAGGAGGGACACAGAGAUUGGCAUGGCCCCCGUGCAAGGAUGAUGCACAAAUUUGUGAAACGUUCUGUAUAAAA
rnacentral:snRNA from 1 species